UACGUAGGGUGCGAGCGUUGUCCGGAAUUAUUGGGCGUAAAGAGCUUGUAGGCGGUUUGUCGCGUCUGCUGUGAAAUCUCAAGGCUCAACCUUGAGCUUGCAGUGGGUACGGGCAGACUAGAGUGUGGUAGGGGAGACUGGAAUUCCUGGUGUAGCGGUGAAAUGCGCAGAUAUCUGGAGGAACACCGGUGGCGAAGGCGGCAUCCUGGACCGGCAUUGACGCUGAGGCGCGAAAGCUAGGGGAGCAAACGGG
rnacentral:rRNA from 1 species